rnacentral:lncRNA from 1 species
AUGGUGACCCAGGACCCCCCUCCCCAAGAAUAUGAAAGUGAUGAUGAUUCUUAUGAAGUGUUGGAUUUAACUGAGUAUGCCAGAAGACAUCACUGGUGGAAUCGAGUGUUUGGCCACAGUUCGGACCUAUGGUAGAAAAAUACUCGGUAGCCACCCAGAUUGUAAUGGGUGGAGUGAGUGGCUGGUGUGUGGGAUUUUUGUUCCAGAAAGUUGGAAAACUUGCAGCAACUGCAGUAGGUGGUGGCUUUCUUCUCCUUCAGAUUGCCAGUCACAGUGGCUAUGUGCAGAUCGACUGGAAGAGAGUGGGAAAAGAUGUAAACAAAGCAAAACGACAGGUUAAAAACCGAGCAAAUAAGGCAGCACCUGAAGUCAAUGACAUAAUAGAAGAAGCAACAGAAUUUGUCAAGCAGAACAUUGUGAUAUGCAGUGGAUUUGUGGGAGGCUUUUUGCUAGGCCUUGCAUCUUAA